rnacentral:pre_miRNA from 1 species
UAUAUACUCCCUCCGUUCGGAAUUACUUAUCGUGGAAAUGGAUGUAUCUAGACGUAUUUUAGUUCUAGAUACAUCCAUUUUCAAGACAAGUAAUUCCGAACGGAGGGAGUAUAUG